UUUACAUUUUUUAAUUUAAAACAUUGGUUCUUCAUAUGUAUGACUGUGGCCUCUUGCAGACUAAUUACACCUAUGCAUUUGUGUGUUUUUCCUGACCCAGGUCGUAUCUGACCCCUGUCAGGGAUGAAGAAGCAGAAUCUCAGAGAAAAGCAAAAUCUCGCCAUGCGAGACAAACUCGCAGGUUAACACAGGGUAUGACUCCGACUGACCUGAAAGAGGCUCAGAAGAUCAGCAGCCUGGAAGAUGGAAAAAAUGAGGAUAGCAGCAGACUGGAGGACAGGUCCUGUCUGCGGAUGAGCUUAACAGAUGAUAGAAGAGUUCAGCCUGGCGUUACAGAGUACACAGAAACAACUGAUGUCAGUCUAAACUGGAGCCAAAUGGACGAGGAGGGUAACUUUGAAACCAGAUUAGAAAUCCUGCCUGACCUUCCGCACCGGCCUUACUGCAACAGCUCCUUCAGAGUUGGCGAGAGAUGGUGGAGAGAUGAAAAUCAGAACAUUGCAGAUUCAGCACAGCUGACUCAACAAAGACGGCCCUGCAUUGACACUGAAGGCUCAGACUACAUUGCAAAGGUAGGUGGAAAACAUCUAGCCACUUUAAUUGUAAUAACACACACACACACACACACACACACACACCAAGAGGCGAAUGGUGGUUUCACAAAAGAUUUUAACCAUCUACCACUAGAUGGAGUCAAAGGAUAAUCUAAUCUAUUUUUCAUCCAUAGCUUGUUCCAGA